GAUGAUCCUCUAGUCCUCACUAUGAUACCAUGUGACAUGAGAUGAUACGAUAUGAUAUGAUAUGAGAUGGAAAGACCAGGUGUGGCCGUAUCACCCCUGGCAGUAUGUAUAUGUGAGAGAAGACCAGGCGUGGCCGUAUCGCCCCUGGCACAGUCGGACUUGUUAUGUUAUGUUUAAGAGGAAGUCCUGAGGAGCUCCGUCGAGGGUCGGGCAUUUAUUGGAUAUGUAGAGGGCUAUUGGUGACAAUACCAUCUUAAGGUGAU
rnacentral:lncRNA from 1 species